AACCUGCGGAAGGAUCAUUACAGAGUUCAUGCCCUCACGGGUAGAUCUCCCACCCUUGAAUAUAUACUUUGUUGCUUUGGCGGGCCGCUUCGGCUGCUGACUUCGGUUAGUGAGUGCCCGCCAGAGAACCCUAAACUCUGAAUUAAAGUGUCGUCUGAGUACUAUAUAAUAGUUAAAACUUUCAACAACGGAUCUCUUGGUUCUGGCAUCGAUGAAGAACGCAGCGAAAUGCGAUAAGUAAUGUGAAUUGCAGAAUUCAGUGAAUCAUCGAAUCUUUGAACGCACAUUGCGCCCCUUGGUAUUCCGGGGGGCAUGCCUGUUCGAGCGUCAUUAUAACCCUCAAGCUCAGCUUGGUGUUGGGGCCUGCCUUCGGGCAGCCCUUAAAAUCAGUGGCGGUGCCGUCUGGCUCUAAGCGUAGUAAUUUCUCUCGCUAUAGCGUCUGGCGGUGUCUUGCCAACAACCCCCAAUUUUCUAUGGUUGACCUCGGAUCAGGUAGGGAUACCCGCUGAACUUAAGCAUAUCAAUAAGCGGAGGA
rnacentral:rRNA from 1 species